rnacentral:snoRNA from 1 species
UUCUUUCAUGAUGAAUUUGUAAUAUUCUUGAUAGGAAGAGUAUGAAAAAUAAUGAGUACGUUUACUAAGCUGAAAAUUAA